UACGAAGGGGGCUAGCGUUGCUCGGAAUCACUGGGCGUAAAGGGUGCGUAGGCGGGUCUUUAAGUCAGGGGUGAAAUCCUGGAGCUCAACUCCAGAACUGCCUUUGAUACUGAAGAUCUUGAGUUCGGGAGAGGUGAGUGGAACUGCGAGUGUAGAGGUGAAAUUCGUAGAUAUUCGCAAGAACACCAGUGGCGAAGGCGGCUCACUGGCCCGAUACUGACGCUGAGGCACGAAAGCGUGGGGAGCAAGACGG
rnacentral:rRNA from 1 species